CUUGCGUACAUUAGUUAGUUGGUAGGGUAAAAGCCUACCAAGACUAUGAUGUGUAGCUGGACUGAGAGGUUGAACAGCCACAUUGGGACUGAGACACGGCCCAAACUCCUACGGGAGGCAGCAGUAGGGAAUUUUCGGCAAUGGAGGAAACUCUGACCGAGCAACGCCGCGUGAACGAUGAAGUAUUUCGGUAUGUAAAGUUCUUUUAUUGGAGAAGAAAAAAUAGUGGAAAAACUAUCUUGACGAUAUUCAAUGAAUAAGCCCCGGCAAACUAUGUGCCAGCAGCCGCGGUAAUACAUAGGGGGCGAGCGUUAUCCGGAAUUAUUGGGCGUAAAGGGUGCGUAGGCGGUUUAAUAAGUCUAUAGUUUAAUUUCAGUGCUUAACACUGUCCUGCUAUAGAAACUAUUAGACUAGAGUGAGAUAGAGGCAAGUGGAAUUCCAUGUGUAGCGGUAAAAUGCGUAAAUAUAUGGAGGAACACCAGAGGCGUAGGCGGCUUGCUGGGUCUUUACUGACGCUGAGGCACGAAAGCGUGGGGAGCAAACAGGAUUAGAUACCCUGGUAGUCCACGCCGUAAACGAUGAGUACUAAGUGUCGGGGUUACUCGGUACUGAAGUUAACACAUUAAGUACUCCGCCUGAGUAGUACGUACGCAAGUAUGAAACUUAAAGGAAUUGACGGGACUCCGCACAAGCGGUGGAUCAUGUUGUUUAAUUCGAAGAUACACGAAAAACCUUACCAGGUCUUGACAUACUCUGCAAAGCUAUAGCAAUAUAGUGGAGGUUAUCAGGGAUACAGGUGGUGCAUGGUUGUCGUCAGCUCGUGUCGUGAGAUGUUAGGUUAAGUCCUAAAACGAGCGCAACCCUUGUCACUAGUUGCCAGCAUGUUAUGAUGGGCACUUUAGUGAGACUGCCAAUGAAAAAUUGGAGGAAGGUGAGGAACACGUCAAAUCAUCAUGCCCCUUAUGAUCUGGGCUACAAACGUGAUACAAUGGCUGUUACAAAGAGUAGGUAAAACGCAAGUUCAUAGCCAAUCUCAUAAAAGCAG
rnacentral:rRNA from 1 species